UACGUAGGUGACAAGCGUUGUCCGGAUUUACUGGGCGUAAAGAGCGCGCAGGCGGUCAGAUAAGUCGAAUGUGAAAGCCCCCGGCUUAACUGGGGAGGGUCAUUCGAUACUGUUCGACUCGAAGGCAGGAGAGGGAAGCGGAAUUCCCGGUGUAGUGGUGAAAUGCGUAGAUAUCGGGAGGAACACCAGUGGCGAAGGCGGCUUCCUGGCCUGUUCUUGACGCUGAGGCGCGAAAGCUAGGGGAGCAAACGGG
rnacentral:rRNA from 1 species